AGGAUGCCCAAAGGAAAGAAGACUGAAGAGAAGCCAAAAGGUGAACCCAGUUUGAGAAAAGGCCUAAGAACUUGGGCAUUUGACAGGUCUUCCAGCUCCAAAGAGGUCUCACCCAUUUCAUAAAAUGGCCCUGGUAACAUCAGGCUUCAAGAGUAAAGCAGCAUCCUCUAUAAGCUGCUCAAAGCACCUCCUGGCAUUAACCAGUUCAACCAGGCCCUGGACCAGCAAACAGCUACCCAGCUGCUUAAGCUGGCCCACAUGUACAGAGACAAAGCAAGAGAAACAAAGGCUGCUGCUGGUCUGUGUUGAGAAGAAAGCUGCUAACAGAGAGGAUGUUCUAACUAAGAGACUGCCUGUCCUCUGAGUAGCGGUCAAUACCUUGGUGGAGAACAAGAAGGCUCAGCUGGUGGUGAUUGCCCGUAAUGUAGACACCAUUCAGUUAGUGGUUUUCCUGUCUGUCUUGUGUUGAAGGAUGGGGGUACCUUACUGCAUUAUCAAGGGAAAGGCCAGGCAGGGGUGCCUGAUCCACAGGAAGACAGGCACCACUGUUGCCUUCACACAGGUUAACUCGGAAGACAAGGGCUCUGGCUAAGCUGGUAAAAGCUAUUAGGACCAAUUAUAAUGACAGAUAUGAUGAGAUCCACUGCCACUGGGGAGGCAAUGUCCUGGGUCCUAAAUCUGUGGCUUGCAUUGCCAAGCUGGAAAAGGCAAAGGCUAAAGAACUUGCCACUAAACUGGGUUAA
rnacentral:lncRNA from 1 species